rnacentral:rRNA from 1 species
UACGUAGGGUGCGAGCGUUAUUCGGAAUUACUGGGCGUAAAGCGUGCGCAGGCGGUCUGUUAAGACCGAUGUGAAAUCCCCGGGCUUAACCUGGGAACUGCAUUGGUGACUGGCAGGCUUUGAGUGUGGCAGAGGGAGGUAGAAUUCCACGUGUAGCAGUGAAAUGCGUAGAGAUGUGGAGGAAUACCGAUGGCGAAGGCAGCCUCCUGGGCCAACACUGACGCUCAGGCACGAAAGCGUGGGGAGCAAACAGG